AACGACUCUCGGCAACGGAUAUCUCGGCUCUCGCAUCGAUGAAGAACGCAGCAAAAUGCGAUACUUGGUGUGAAUUGCAGAAUCCCGUGAAUCAUCGAGUUUUUGAACGCAAGUUGCGCCCGAAGCCUUCCGGCCGAGGGCACGUCUGCCUGGGCGUCACGC
rnacentral:rRNA from 1 species